rnacentral:rRNA from 2 species
UGACCUCGAAUCAGGUA